CCCCGCCCCGCUCCCCCUCAGCGCCUUGCCCUCGAGCCGUCGGCUCCCGCCGCACAGCUGCAAAUGGCGCCUCUCGCAGCCAAUCGGAGCGCGCUCCGCACUCGCCUCAGCCAAUCGGAUGGCAGGAGCACUCUUACCUCCCGCACCCCCUCCUGCCGCCUGGGGGCGCUGGUGUGCGCGAGGCCCGCCCCGGACCCGCCAGCCAAUCAGAGAAGGGCACGGCAGUUGCUAGGUGGGCGGGCGCCGGGUCCCGGGGCUGGCGGGCGGGAGUGGCGGUCACUCUCCUGCCUUUCGCGCCCUUCGGGGUUACCCGGAAAAGCGCGCCCCAAGGCGCGCAAAGCGUGGCACGCUGACUUCGUGCUAACGUAGCUACGCGAUGAUGCGGCCCUCGUCAGGUGACGUCUCACUGCAUCACCUUCCCACGCAAGACGAGGACUCUACAGACUGAGGUAGGACUGUUGAGAUGGGGAUGACUCAAGGAUUCAACUUGGAAACAUCAUCAAAAAACAUCAAUGUGAAAUGGUUGAUGCCUGAACACAGGGACAAUAAGGAAACAGAACUUUACCAGACUCUAAAUCCUCUCCAUGAUAAAGUGGAUUUAACUGGUUCUCAACUUUGCAUAUUAUUAACUACAGUUUUUAGAAGGUUGAACAAUUCAUUCAAGAAUAUCUGGAAGGAUGUAGUUUCCUGAUUUCCAGGCAGCUCGGUGGACAUCAGGGGGCACUGUUUCACCGCUAGGAAUUUAAACGGAGACAAUGUGGCAUUUGUCCCGGCAAGUACACUGGAGUUAAUGUUGUACUUAGUUCCUAAUCCUGCCUAUAGGUGGACAUUAAAUCAAUUUAGCUACUCUUCAUCUUUAUGUGUUAUCACAGUGUUAACUGAUUUAUACAUAUAUAUAAAAAUAUAUAUAAAGUGAAUAAGACCUGGGUUUGAAAGACCUGGGAUUUUUACAAAAUCUUAUUCUUGGGGAAAAAAAAAAUAUUUCUAUAAGUGCACUGGAACUCAAUUAUAUGAGAUAUAUAGUUAUAUAGGUACCCAGUAGCUGGUCCAAUAACACAGCUGCAGAGCAGUUUGCUUCCUUUAAAUGAAAAGAAGGACCUAACACUUUUCAGUGAUUGAGUUGUUUAGAGAUAGAUUACAAAGCAUCACUGAAGAAAAACACAGGGCUGGUAUUUUAAUAAGUAUAUACUUCUUAAAUCUUUUAAUAUUUAUGAGGUAGGAAAACAAAUGCCUUUGGCCUCUGAUAUCCUUUCCAGUGAACUCUUUUUUUGUUGUUUAAGAAAGAUAAAGUACCGUGGGAAGAACACCUGGUAUUUAUUUUCAAACAAAGUCAUUAAGAAGAACCAUUGGUUCUCCUAAAUACAGAUCAUUUUUCAUAAUAAAAUACAUGUUUUUCAAUUA